UCCAGUUCCCCCGGUUGGAUGUUACCUGGUAUGAGGCACGUUUCAGCUGUGCGUAUUCAAACGGCUUGUUUUCCGUAACGAAGCAAGAACACAUCGACCUCAUCACUAGUCACCUCUUGAACAAAUUUAUCGACGCCGCCUGGGUCGGGUCUACACUAAACCAAGUGGGCGUUGUAAACAACUUGUGUCCAGUCCUUGCGUUGAGUCGUGCCACAUCCUCCUAUGUUACAAGCGAGAUUCCAUGUGAUACCCUUAGCAUUACCACCUGUAUUUGCGAAACCACGAAAAUGUGGUAGCAAGCAAUUCCAAAAGGAAUCAUUUCCUCAAAAGAAAUGAUUUAAUAUUGACGUUGGAAUAAACAGAGGGACUUGCCAGUUUCGCAAAACCCCUCUGGUGUUUUGUGGGGGAGAUCAAAGAUGACCGAAUUCUUCGCAACUUCUGUUUUUUUAUAAAAUAAAAGAGUUAUUAAUGC